CCCUUAGAUGUCCUGGGCCGCACGCGCGUUACACUGAUGCAUUCAACGAGCUUAUAACCUUGGCCGAGAGGCCUGGGCAAUCUUGUUAACGUGCAUCGUGAUAGGGAUAGAUUAUUGAAAUUAUUAAUUUUGAACGAGGAAUUCCUAGUAAACGCAGAUCAUCAAUCUGCAUUGAUUACGUCCCUGCCCUUUGUACACACCGCCCGUCGCACCUACCGAUUGGAUGGUCCGGUGAAGCCUCGGGAUUGUGGUUCUUGCCGCUUUAUUGUGGCGUGACCGCGAGAACUUGUCUAAACCUUAUCAUCUAGAGGAAGGUGAAGUCGUAACA
rnacentral:rRNA from 1 species